CAAAGAUAAAAACACAGAUCCGGUUGGUAGUCCGGACGCAGUGGAUAAAUAUUAAUGAAAACGCUGUCAGUAACCCUCCUCCUUGGUCGUCCGUUCUUUGUUCAUUA
rnacentral:ncRNA from 1 species